rnacentral:rRNA from 1 species
GACGAACGCUGGCGGCGUGCUUAACACAUGCAAGUCGAACGGUAAGGCCCUUCGGGGUACCCGAGUGGCGUACGGGUGAGUAACACGUGAGUAAUGUGCCCUUGACUCUGGGAUAACAGCCGGAAACGGUUGCUAAUACCGUAUAUACACAUGUGCCUGCAUGGGUGUGUGUGGAAAGCUUUUGCGGUCUUGUAUCAACUCGCGGCCUAUCAGCUUGUUGGCGGGGUAAGGGCCUACCAAUGCCUCGACGGGUAGCCGGCCUGAGAGGGCGACCGGCCACACUGGGACUGAGAUACGGCCCAGACGCCUACGGGAGGCAAGGGUGGGGAAUAUUGCACAAAGGGCGGAGGCCGGAUGCAGCAACGCCGCGUGCGGAAUGACGGCCUUCGGGUUGGAAACCGCUUUCAGUAGGGACGGAGCGCAAGUGACGGUACCUACAGAAGAAGCACCGGCCAACUACGU